CCUACGGGAGGCAGCAGUGGGGAAUUUUGGACAAUGGACGAAAGUCUGAUCCAGCAAUGCCGCGUGCAGGACGAAGGCCUUCGGGUUGUAAACUGCUUUUGUACGGAACGAAAAAGUCUGCCUUAAUACGGUGGGCUCAUGACGGUACCGUAAGAAUAAGCACCGGCUAACUACGUGCCAGCAGCCGCGGUAAUACGUAGGGUGCGAGCGUUAAUCGGAAUUACUGGGCGUAAAGCGUGCGCAGGCGGUUAUAUAAGUCAGAUGUGAAAUCCCCGGGCUUAACCUGGGACCUGCAUUUGAGACUGUAUAGCUAGAGUACGGUAGAGGGGGAUGGAAUUCCGCGUGUAGCAGUGAAAUGCGUAGAUAUGCGGAGGAACACCGAUGGCGAAGGCAAUCCCCUGGACCUGUACUGACGCUCAUGCACGAAAGCGUGGGGAGCAAACAGGAUUAGAUACCCUGGUAGUCCACGCCCUAAACGAUGUCAACUGGUUGUUGGGUCUUCACUGACUCAGUAACGAAGCUAACGCGUGAAGUUGACCGCCUGGGGAGUACGGCCGCAAGGUUGAAACUUAAAGGAAUUGACGGCUGAGAGNGCGAGACGACGACGAGGGAGAGG
rnacentral:rRNA from 1 species